AAUACAAGUACUAUAUUUAGAUAAAGCAGAUUUUACAAAAUAGUCUGCAAGUUCAUUAAUAGAUAGCAUAUUCAUACUGAAAAUUGGUUAGAUAAUAAAUUUCUUAGAGAACUUGUAUGAAAAUAGUAAGCAUUCCGAUUUGUUUAUAUAUUGAAGGGAAGUGAAUCUUUUAAUAUUAUUAUUUAUAAUAGUAAUAAACAAUUACAACCGAUGUAAACUCUAAUGAUAUAAUUUUUAUAAUUCUAAAUAUAGUACAAUAAUAUAUUUAAUCAGCAUCUGAGUGAGAAAUUGUACCAUAGUGCUAUUAUUAUAAAAAAAAUUAUCUUGUAACCAAUUAUAAUAAAAAAGUUUAGUACAGUUUUGAUCUCCUCAUAUCUCGAUACAUCAACAAAUGUCAACCAAAUAAAGAGUUUCAACCUACAUACCAACAAAAUUAUUAUUCGGUACGUAAUUACCAAGUAUAAGGUAAGAUCAGGACUGUCAUACUUUUAUGAAAAGCCAAUUAAUUCG